CUUGCUUUUCAGACAGACUAAGUUAUGAAAAAUAUACGUAGUCUAUUUGCACCCAAGUAAAAUGUGUUGCUAGUACAAAAUAUUUGCUCCAGAGGGACAAUACUGAACAAACUCAGUGUUGUCAUUCGGUCUUACCAAAAAACUAGUAAGUAGAGACAUGCACUGUAGAACUUUUCACAAGCUAGACCAUGAAACAAAUGGGGGGAGCUGGGGGGAGGGGCAUGUUAAUGUAAUCACUUAAACAAAUUUUAUCGCAUUUGCCAAUAUGUAUAAUUGCUUUACAAGUUCAAAAUACAUAUUUUUUUCUCGUCGAAAAACAACUGGUCAUCCGUUUCACAACUUUUAAAAAGAUAAUGCGUUUGUUAUAGUGCGUUUUAAUUUUGCACCACUUUAUCUGAAAGCAAUUUCUUAACUGGAAUUGGGCUGAAAUAUUGCUUCAGAAGUAGCUUCAUUUGAAACUGCACAUUCUGUAACACUGCAUUAAGAUUAGACAAAUUUUGGUUAGAAAUGACUUGUUCAGUCAACACCAUUAAACUGCAGUAGAUGUAUUGUCAUGCAGAAACAUUAAAUAUUACAGCCUAAUAUAUACACUGCAGCAACACAUUUAUCCUCCACCAUGUUAUUUAAAGCUUGAAAACUAAUACAAAAGCCAAACAUAAUAUUUGAAUGAAUAAUAUUGUUUAAAAUAAAAACCAUCAAUGUUUUCAAGAUCAACGACAGAUAUGCACAAAGGGAAAACAUGCUGAAAGUUAUCAUAAGCCCUAAAGCCCAAAUUAAUUAUUAAAUUUAGACUUCUAAAAUAUGCAGUAAGAUAACUGGAAUGACUGAUUAUAGAUAUAGAUCCCUUGUUAUUAGAUUGCAAUUAAUUCAUUCACAGAGAGAUAAUUUAAGUCACUAUCACCUAUAUAUGACAAAACAGGCCCAUGCCCCAAACCUAAUCGAAACUUAAAAGCAAAGUCCAUAAAAAAUAACAUCUUUUUUUGAUAUAUUAUAACAUAUUAGAUUAUGAUUAUGUUGUUUACAGACAAAAUCAUUUGCCCUUUUCUAAUAUCAUGAGGUUGCACUGUGACAUAUAAAAGCAAUGUUAACAUGCUCUUCUAUUUACCUGGGUUCUGUGCUGUACAACAAAUGUGAAAUUAUAAAAUUUUCAGGAUUGUAUUUCACUGUGACUACUUCUGAGGCAUGAGUAUUUACACUGAGAGGAAAUGUUCAUAUGUAGGUUUUUUUUUUUCUUUUUUUUUCUGCACUUGUGAAAUAUGUCGACCCUAUUUACCCCAGAGCUUGAAUUCUAAGUAAGAAAAUCUGCUUGGUACAAGCCAAAGAAAAAGUAAACAGUGAGUUCCUGAUAUUUGUAAGAAAUGUUUACCUGUUGACCUUUUUACUUUCGCCUAAAACGCCUUUGUUUUUGUUGAUUAUACUAGAAACUGUCUCUGUAUAGUUAUUACAAGUAUAAAUUUGUCUAAAUAUGCAUAAGUGACGCAUGUAUAUAGAUCUACAAAAAUUCUAAAAACAAAACAAAACACACCCCCACCCCAUUUUUAAGUGCCUGAUGUACUCUUUUUCCUCUCCACCCUUCAAAUAUUAAGGGUUUAAGAACUUCCAAUUUCAGUUGCUUUGGUUACUGAAAGCACCAACUGGAAACAUCUGUUCAUAAGCCAAGUGUAAAGGCACUUGACCCCAAGGUUAAAGUGCCUUCCAUCAGAUGAAGGGAAAUCUUACACUCAAAGUCAUUCCGUGGCAUUUCGGCGUAUCCCAGACAUCACAGACAUACGGUUUACGUUUUCCUAAAUGGCGUAGAUGACCAAGUCCGCAUUUUGGUUCGUCUCAGCCUUAGAAUCAUUUCUUUUGACUUGACACAAAAAAAGGAACAAGGGUACAUCCCCUAAGAGACCCCUUACUCCUGGUCAAACACAUUCUUAUAAACAAAAUAUUGGCAAACCAGUAAAACAA